rnacentral:rRNA from 1 species
AUACGGAGGGGACAAGCGUUAUUCGGAAUCACUGGGCGUAAAGGACGCGUAGGCGGGUUAUUAAGUCGGGGGUGAAAUCCAAUGGCUCAACCAUUGAACUGCAUUCGAAACUGAUAACCUAGAGUAUGGAAGGGGCAGGUGGAAUUAGUGGUGUAGGGGUAAAAUCCGUAGAUAUCACUAGGAAUACCGAAAGCGAAGGCGACCUGCUGGGACAUUACUGACGCUGAGGCGUGAAAGCGUGGGGAGCAAACAGGAUUAGAAACCCCAGUAGUCC